CUUGUACACACCGCCCGUCACACCAUGGGAGUCUGUUGCACCAGAAGCAGGUAGCUUAACCUUCGGGGGGGCGCUUGCCACGGUGUGGCCGAUGACUGGGGUGAAGUCGUAACAAGGUAGCCGUAUCGGAAGGUGCGGCUGGAUCACCUCCUUUAGA
rnacentral:rRNA from 1 species